rnacentral:rRNA from 1 species
UAGGGAAUCUUCGGCAAUGGGGGCAACCCUGACCGAGCAACGCCGCGUGAGUGAAGAAGGUUUUCGGAUCGUAAAGCUCUGUUGUAAGAGAAGAACGAGUGUGAGAGUGGAAAGUUCACACUGUGACGGUAACUUACCAGAAAGGGACGGCUAUAUCUACGUGCCAGCAGCCGCGGUAAUACGUAGGUCCCGAGCGUUAUCCGGAUUUAUUGGGCGUAAAGCGAGCGCAGGCGGUUAGAUAAGUCUGAAGUUAAAGGCUGUGGCUUAACCAUAGUACGCUUUGGAAACUGUUUAACUUGAGUGCAGAAGGGGAGAGAGGAAUUCCCUGUGUAGCGGUGAAAUGCGUAGAUAUAUGGAGGAACACCGGUGGCGAAAGCGGCUCUCUUGCUUGUAACUGACGCUGAGGCUCGAAAGCGUGGGGGGGGAAAAAAAAAAAAAAAACCCGGGGGGUCCCCCCCCCCCCAAAAAAAAANGGGGGGGGGGGANANCCCCCUCCCCNGNNNNNNGNNGGAGGNAAAANAAUAAACACCCCCCCCCCCCGNGGGCGGAGCGGCANGGGUGA